rnacentral:rRNA from 1 species
UACGUAGGAUGCAAGCGUUGUCCGGAAUUAUUGGGCGUAAAGAGCGCGCAGGCGGUAACUCAAGGCAGAUGUGAAAUAUCCGGGCUUAACCCGGAGGGGUCAUUUGAAACUGAGUAACUAGAGUACAGCAGAGGAUAGCGGAAUUCCCGGUGUAGUGGUGAAAUGCGUAGAUAUCGGGAGGAACACCAGUGGCGAAGGCGGCUAUCUGGGCUGAAACUGACGCUGAGGCGCGAAAGCGUGGGGAGCGAACAGG